rfam:Streptomyces sp. TSRI0107 scaffold3, whole genome shotgun sequence.
CUUGAUGGAGCCGAGGUACAGCGGUUCGGCGUCCGCCUCGCGCCGCCCGUAGGUGGCGAGCAGCGCCUGCGCCUC